ACGGCGAAUGCCGGAAAGGACUACACUUCGAAUGUGGGGGUCGCGGGUUCGAAUCCCGCUUGUCCGGAAACGGACAGUAGCUCAGCGGAUAGAGCACCAGCCCUAGGGCAUGUCUUUUCCAUCCCUCGUCGCCGUGAC
rnacentral:Y_RNA from 1 species